CUAGGACCCUGGGAUCAUGACCUGAGCCGAAGGCAGAUGCUUAACUGACUAAGCCACCCAGGCCUUUUGACACAAUUCCACAAUUCUGGUGUCCAAGAUCUGGAAUCAGAAAGCUUUCAGAGGAGCCUGGUUCUUCUUAGUGGGAAAUGGUAUUUAGAGACCACAGUCUGAGUGCUAGUAUCAAUAAGUAUUGAUACCAGAAAUAGAGCAAUCCAUUCUUAAGUUCAUAUGCAGUCUCAAGGGACCCUGAAUAGCCAAAACAUCUGGAAAAAGAAGAACAAAGUUGAUUUUAAAACUUACUACAAAAGAAUACUAAUCAAACCAAUAUGGUACAGAUAUAUAGACCAAUGAAAUAGAAUAGAUAGCCCAGAAAAAUAAAC